GACAGAGGCCUCGAGCGUUAGGCGGAAUCACUGGGCUUAAAGCGUGUGUAGGCGGAUCGUUAAGUACCUUGUGAAAUCCCACGGCUCAACCGUGGAACUGCUGGGCAUACUGGGAGUCUUGGGCCAUUCAGGGGCAACUGGAACAAGCGGUGGAGCGGUGAAAUGCGUAGAUAUCGCUUGGAACGCCGAAGGUGAAAACAGGUUGCUGGGGAUGUGCCGACGCUGAGACACGAAAGCCAGGGGAGCAAACGGG
rnacentral:rRNA from 1 species